ensembl:snoRNA
CUAAGGUCAAUUGAUAAUUAUAAAAGACAGAGAUUGAUACACUUGGUAAUAAAAACAAGAUCCAACUCUGCUUUCUACCGGAA